GCGGCUUUUUAAGUCGGAUGUGAAAUCCCUGAGCUUAACUUAGGGAUUGCAUUCGAUACUGGGAAGCUAGAGUAUGGGAGAGGAUGGUAGAAUUCCAGGUGUAGCGGUGAAAUGCGUAGAGAUCUGGAGGAAUACCGAUGGCGAAGGCAGCCAUCUGGCCUAAUACUGACGCUGAGGUACGAAAGCAUGGGGAGGCAACAAGAUUAGAUACCCUGGUAGUCCAUGCCGUAAACGAUGUCUACUAGCCGUUGGGGCCUUUGAGGCUUUAGUGGCGCAGCUAACGCGAUAAAGUAGACCGCCUGGGGAGUACGGUCGCAAGACUAAAACUCAAAUGAAUUGACGGGGGCCCGCACAAGCGGUGGAGCAUGUGGUUUAAUUCGAUGCAACGCGAAGAACCUUACCUGGUCUUGACAUAGUAAGAACUUUCCAGAGAUGGAUUGGUGCCUUCGGGAACUUACAUACAGGUGCUGCAUGGCUGUCGUCAGCUCGUGUCGUGAGAUGUUGGGUUAAGUCCCGCAACGAGCGCAACCCUUUUCCUUAUUUGCCAGCGGUUUAAGCCGGGAACUUUAAGGAUACUGCCAGUGACAAACUGGAGGAAGGCGGGGACGACGUCAAGUCAUCAUGGCCCUUACGACCAGGGCUACACACGUGCUACAAUGGUCGGUACAAAGGGUUGCUACCUAGCGAUAGGAUGCUAAUCUCAAAAAGCCGAUCGUAGUCCGGAUUGGAGUCUGCAACU
rnacentral:rRNA from 1 species